GCGUGGAAGUUAUUUUUUAAUUUUAAUUUGCUUCUCAUUUUACAUAUUUAUAGUUCCAGCUUUUUUUUUUUUAAGUGAGUUUGCUCUCCUUUCUGUUUUUGUGGUCAGCCUCUGAUCACCACCAGAUCUACCACAUUCCUCUACCUUCUCGCUCUGUUCAAGCUCCUCACCCUAGCCGGGCCGACCCCAGUACACUGCGAAAAUGUUUCUCAUGCAUUUCUAAAGGUGCUUCACGAUGCCCUCACACGUAGAGGCGUCAAGAGGAUUCUAGAAUCUCAGUGAACUUAUCCUAACUUCCGACCCAAUGCACAAAGUAGUUCUGCAGAGCCCUUUCUUUCUCCUGCUCCCCUCUGAGUUUAAAAAAAAUUGGCCUGAUCCAUGAUCUAUUCGAUAUUCUUCCAGCUUUUAUUUUAUCUGCAGAUUUGAUCAACAUCAGUAUGACUUCAAAGUCUUUGUUCAAGAAAUGGGUGUCAACGUUGGUCGAGGCAUGAGAAAGACGGCACAGGAGAGUCGGUCAGAAGUGGCCCGGGUCUUCAGCCUCCGUUCCUGAGGCUGUGGUGCAGAGCUGUACGCCCUGUGCAUGCUUCUUCCUCUUGCCUAUGAGUACCUCAGGAGAGGCGUAGGCAGAUCCCGAGUGCUCGACGUUGAUUAUUUCCUGGGCUAGCAAUCUGACAACUGGAUCCACAAAGAAAACAAGGCUGUUGGUUCUCAUUCAUUCAUUCAGCAUCCUUUGGGUUCACAGCCAUCAACCGGCACAGUGUCAGGUGCCGCAGUCCCCAUUCUGGGACUCGCCUGAGAAGAGUGGCCAUCCCCCCUGGGGUCGGAUGCUUUGGGCCCCACCUCCCAUCCUCCGGAUCUGCUUCUUGCUUCAGCCCCGCUCUGGCGCCCACUGUGCCCAGGUGAGGGACUCAUGCAGAGUUGUGUGUGGCUAUGCAGGACUCAUCCUCACCGCUGUGCAGAAGGCCGUGGCGUGAACACACCUCUCUGUCCAUCCUACCGUGGCUGGGCAUCGUCAGCUUUCUUCCCGGUCGGGGCCAUUAGGAAAAUGGCACCUGU
rnacentral:lncRNA from 1 species